rnacentral:rRNA from 1 species
GAACGAGACCCUUGCAUCUAGUUGCCAGCAGAUCCCUUCGGGAUGCUGGGUACCCUAGAUGGACCGCCACUGCUAAAGUGGAGGAAGGAGAGGGCGACGGUAGGUCAGUAUGCCCCGAAUCUCCCGGGCUACACGCGGCCUACAAUGGACAGGACAAUGGGCUCCGAUCCCGAAAGGGAAAGGCAAUCCUUUAAACCUGUUCUUAGUUCGGAUUGAGGGCUGUAACUCGCCCUCAUGAAGCUGGAAUCUCUAGUAAUCGCGUGUCAUUAUCGCGCGGUGAAUACGUCCCUGCUCCUU